GACGAACGCUGGCGGCGUGCUUAACACAUGCAAGUCGAACGGAAAGGCCCUGCUUGCUGGGUGCUCGAGUGGCGAACGGGUGAGUAACACGUGGGUGAUCUGCCCCUUACUUUGGGAUAAGCCUGGGAAACUGGGUCUAAUACUGGAUAGGACCAUGCUGUAGGUGGUGUGGUGGAAAGAUUAGUUUCGGUAAGGGAUGAGCUCGCGGCCUAUCAGCUUGUUGGUGGGGUAAUGGCCUACCAAGGCGUCGACGGGUAGCCGGCCUGAGAGGGUGGACGGCCACAUUGGGACUGAGAUACGGCCCAGACUCCUACGGGAGGCAGCAGUGGGGAAUAUUGCACAAUGGGCGCAAGCCUGAUGCAGCGACGCCGCGUGGGGGAUGACGGCCUUCGGGUUGUAAACUCCUUUCAGCCAUGACGAAGCCCUUGUGGUGACGGUAGUGGUAGAAGAAGCACCGGCUAACUACGUG
rnacentral:rRNA from 1 species